rnacentral:tRNA from 1 species
GGUUUUAUGGUGUAGUGGUUAGCACUUUGGACUUUGAAUCCAGCAAUUUGGGUUCAAUUCCCGGUAAGACUU